rnacentral:rRNA from 1 species
CCUACGGGGGGCUGCAGUGGGGAAUAUUGGGCAAUGGGGGCAACCCUGACCCAGCGACGCCGCGUGAAGGACGAAGGCAUUCGUGUUGUAAACUUCUUUGGAGAGGGACGAAAAUGACGGUACCUCUCGAACAAGCCACGGCUAACUACGUGCCAGCAGCCGCGGUAAUACGUAGGUGGCAAGCGUUAUCCGGAAUUACUGGGUGUAAAGGGCGCGCAGGCGGCCCUGCAAGUCGGAUGUGAAAGAUCAAGGCUCAACCUUGACAGGCCAUUCGAAACUGUGGGGCUUGAGUGUCAGAGGGGAAAGUGGAAUUCCUAGUGGAGCGGUAAAAUGCGCAGAUAUUAGGAGGAACACCGGUGGCGAAGGCGACUUUCUGGCUGACAACUGACGCUGAGGCGCGAAAGCGUGGGGAGCAAACAGGAUUAGAUACCCCUGUAGUC